UCCACGCCGUAAACGAUGGAUACUAGUUGUUGGGAUUUAUCUCAGUGACUAAGCGAAAGUGAUAAGUAUCCCACCUGGGGAGUACGGUCGCAAGACUGAAACUCAAAAGGAAUUGACGGGGGGCCCGCACAAGCGGUGGAGCAUGUGGUUUAAUUCGAUGAUACGCGAGGAACCUUACCGAGGGCUUAAAUGUAGUCUGACAGCUUUAGAGAUAGAGUUUUCUUCGGACAGAU
rnacentral:rRNA from 1 species